AUAACAUGGUCUUUUCUUCUCUCUCUCUCACAGCAAACACUGCAGGACAAUCAGGCAUCCAAGUAACAUAUUUUAUCAAAGCCAAAUACUGCCCAAAAGGGGAUACUGGGAAAGAAGAGAAACAGGUUAAUACAAGAUCAUCAAAGGUUUCUGAAAGCAAACACCAGUCAGUUGGUUGAAAAAGUGAAGAACAUUGAUCCAAUAAUUGACCAUCUUGAUUGCUCAAUGAAUCAGUUACAAAUGUGCGAGCGAAUCCAACACACCAGAUGAAGAUGAGGGAACUGCUGGACUGUGUGAAUUAUGAAAGCAUUGCCAACGACCUGGUCAACGCUUUGUUCAAGCAUGAAGAAUCUUUCAUGAAGAAACUGCAAUAACAACUGUUGUAGCCUAUAGUUUGGCAUUAUGUACUUAAACAGUUUUUUAAAAAAGAAAUGUUUUUAAUAAUUGAUUGGUGAUGGAGUUUUAAUUUUUGUAUUGAGAACCAAGUAUAUUGUACAAGUAAGAAGAUACCAAACUGUCC